UACGUAGGGGGCGAGCGUUGUCCGGAUUUAUUGGGCGUAAAGAGCGUGUAGGCGGUUCGGUAAGUCUGUCGUGAAAUCCUGAGGCUCAACCUCGGGCGUGCGAUGGAUACUGCCGGGCUAGAGGAUGGUAGAGGCGAGUGGAAUUCCCGGUGUAGCGGUGAAAUGCGCAGAUAUCGGGAGGAACACCUGUGGUGUAGACGGCUUACUGGACCGCGACUGACGCUGAGGCACGAAAGCGUGGGUAGCAAACAGG
rnacentral:rRNA from 1 species